rnacentral:ncRNA from 1 species
UGAAAAACAGUGAAGAGAAAGAGUAAAUUAGGUGGACUUUUCAGAGAGCUAAAGUUUGGUGAGAUUUAGUAAGAAAGCUUAAUUGAAGCAGUCUCGGAGUUUCUUGUUGAGAACUAAAGGUUAAAUAGAGUAUUUUAGUAAGUAUGUUUUAAAAUUAAGAUGUACAUAACUUUUAAUUAGAUUAAGACGAUUUCCUCCCGUUAAAGAGGAUAGAAAUUGAGUAAUAAGUAAGGAAUAAAUUUAUUAAAUUUCAGCCAUACUAUUAAAGAUUUCUAACUGAGGUGAGUAAAAGUAAUUUUACUUAUUAGGGUGGUACCGCGAAGUAGUUCCUUCGUCCCUUUU